UAGCGAGCUCGAGAGCUCUUGUGCACAACGAGAUUAGCGCGAUGUGAACGUUUCCAUGCCAAGGUGCUAACGCAAUAAUACACGCGAGUUUGCCAACUUUUCAAAUUGAAUGUAUUUGAUUAUUUGCUUUUAAUUAGUGUGAGUUUUGGAGUAUGUACAGGAUUGUCAGGGAUACACUCAAAGCCCCCACAGCCCAUGGAGCCUCCCCUUGGUAAAGACGGUCUGGGAUUGUUCUUUUUUAGCUGUGGAGAAUGAGAUUUAACAGCUCUGUUAAAUGUUUUAGCCUGUUUCCAUUGUGCCUCUGUUUCAACCUAUUGGCAAGACCAAUUGAAGUGAGAAAAUAAACCUCUUAUCUGAUCUGAAUGCAAGGAGAGCUGCUCCAAAGAAUUUUCUCCAGCUCCACUUUGGCUUCCUGCGAACAUCUCUGUUUUAUUUUGUUUGGGUCUGCGUUUUCUUUCCAGACUUGGCUGUUUAGCUGGCUUCCCUGUAUUUCCCUUCCCUGUAAGUACAUAUAUAUAGGAAACAUCUAUGCACAUGGAAAUCAAGUAGUUGGCAGAGAGAGAAGAAGACACUGUUUAUAGAAUUUAGAAAUUGUUUUCAGAGCUCUUGCCGUCUGCCCGAGACUCAAGUGCAUCCUCAGCUUGGCGACCCUCUGCAUGGCGCUUCUGGGGUGGCUCAUGCCCCUGUGCUAUGCCAAGGGACAAGGAGGCUGUGAAGAGGCCAGGCGAUCAACUUGGAGUUGAGCCUUGGGCCCUACAAUCCCAUCUGUAACUUGGGGGACGGCACUGUUCUGGCUGGCACAUGAGCUUGCAGGUCUUUCCUUCUGUUGACUUACCCAGAAAUCCCCCUCCUUCCCAUGGAGGUUUUGCAAGCAAGGGUCACCUACAAAAAGAAAGCAAGUCCUUUCUUAGGCCCAAACUUCAUGCAACAGAAAGUGGCGGAGCAGUCUGUGGGACAAGCACGACACCGGGCAUCCAGUUCUAUCUGCUACUGAGAAGGGAGUGUGCUGCUCGCCACCUCACGCCUCCCGCUCAGCUUGUCCCAGGCCCAGGACACUGCAGUGUGCACAGAGACUCAAUUCCACCCCGAUAUGGCCAGCCACCUGGUUUCCUCGUGCCCUGUUGCUAUCCCAGCAGCCCACCAGGGCCACGAAGGAGCCGCCCACUGGGUCUCUGAGUCGCGAGACCCUCAUCCGCAUUCUGAGGACGGCCGCCCGGCUGCUCACCCAUUACCUACCCAAUUUCUCAGUUACAUUAAAAAAAAAAAUCUUUCCCCCCCUUAACAAUAGAGAGGAACAAAUGGUGGACAAAUAACAACAGCAGCAGCUCUCCAACAAAAGCACGCAAUUAUUACAAUUAUACUAUCCUUGAUUAGGCUGCCACGCACUGCAUUUCAAUGUAAUUGAUGUUGUAGGUUGACACAUCGGACACCAAAUAUUCUCGCCUGUCCCUUCUCUCUUUUGUUUCAGGAGCUGAUUUGCAUUUUCUAUGCUUUUAGUAAUGAAGACUUAGCACUUUUCCUCCAUUAGAAAAAAAAAGAGAGAUACAAUAAUCUGCAACUCGGCACUUGUUUAAGGAUUCUGACCCUCGAAAAUACCACUUUGCUUCACACAUUAGCUGCUUACAAAGAAGGAAGCUAAUGUAUCAUCUAAUUGGGCAAACCACUGCAUCUGAUUUCUCUCAAUCAGACUAUUAGCUUCGUAAUUACCCAUCUGCCUCGUGUGGAAAAACGGCAAGGCGCACACCCAGCUAAUAACGUUCUCAAGAGCUCUCCACCACAAUGAGAGGGGCGACGUGGAGGGAGAUGGGCUCUAACCAUUUCGGUGCCAAGGUGGCUGCACAAUGCAGGGGGGUCUGCCAGCCUCCCCCCGCCCGGCUGUGUUUAAUUAUUCUUCUUUAAUUAGGAGGACUUUGGGGGGCCUGUUCAGGAUCGCUGUCCCCACUGCUGUGGUGGCCGUGGCCGUGGCAAGUGUUGAAAGAUGGUGGCCAGCAGGAGAGAAGCGAGGACGCCUCCUGCGGCCUCUGCAGGAGAUGAGCGUGUUGAGGGGAGAAUGUCCCCUGGCCUGUGUCCUUCAGAGGGACAGAGACCAUCCUCAAGGUCAGUCUAAUUCCAGGUGAAAUUUCUGAGGACAAAUGGACACAUGAUUUGACAACUAAUGUCUGAUGAUCACUGUUCAUUCAGGUCGACAAAUGGUGUGUGUUGGCAUACCAACGUUUGUCAUCUAACGGCUGAGAAGUGUAGCCCAGAGCUGCUGGGAUCUGAAGAGGUGAAAAAGUAAAUGGGGUGCAUCUUUUUGGGCUAGAAAAGUAAUACAUUUGACUUUGUUAUGGUCACAGUUUAAUUAUGAUAUCUGUCAUUUGAAAGAUUCAUUGAUAGCUAAUGUUGAACUGCUAGGAGAAGACAAAUUUACAUACAUAUCCUAGCACCUAGGAAAACAUUGAAAAACCCUACUGUUAAGGAUUAAAAACUGGUGGUCAACUUAACGCCAGCUGAAUUAAAUCAGCAGAGUGCUGAGCAUAGAUGCUCCACCUGAGGAAAGUUGCCAGCAUAAACAGAGAUGUGGAGAAGGAGAAGCUAUGCGUUAAGUCUUUGAGGCGUGGAGGCCUUGUGGGUUCUCCUACGAGUUGCUGUUUGAGCUGUUGGUUCUCCUGGAGAAGCUCUGGUCCUCACAUCGAGCAUUGCUUGGCUGCGGAGGGGAAGACGUGUGCCACUUGGUCUCCAGGAUGAACUCAUCACGCUGGCUUCCUGGCAUGUAUCCGACUGUGCUUGUCGUCGUCGGAGCUCGGGGCCUCCGUGUCGCUGAGGAUGGCUCUGGUGCCUUUCAGGACAGCCCUGGUCCUUGUUGUGAGUGUGACUUUUCGGCUCCAGCAUAAACCCUCAUCCCACCAGCACAGCUCCUUCACCCCGCUGGCAUGGACUUUCUGGCUUCCACCACUGACUUUUGGGCCUUCCCAGCACAGAUGCAUAAAAGAGACUGGUGUGACUCCUUCUUGUGGGCUCUGGACCUCGAAUUGGACUCGUGGGAGGCAUUGUCAUGAGUUCUGGGUCUUCAUCUGGAUUCAUACAAGGCAUUGCUGUGAGGUUCAGGCCCUUGGCUGGAUAUUCUAUGUCUUUGGUGUUACAGAUAGAUUUCCUGCAGUUUCUUGUGUUAACUCUGGGUGACCAUCAUAAAACAAUAUUAUAAACUCUAAACACCUGACUACAACACCUACUGUGUGUGUGUUACAAUGACCAUUUGCAUAACUUUCAAUGGCAAACAACAGACAAAUCUGUUUCUUACCCAAGUCAAAGUCUCAGGACUCUGUCUAGUUAAAGCUGCCAGUGGUUCAAAGGGCAGAGCCACCCAUAGCCAAAUCGCUGCUGUCCCACAGUGUCUGAAAUCCAAGUCCACGUUUAUUUCUUUCUUUUUAUAAUGUUUCAUUUAAAGAAUUUGGUUGAUCUGAGAUAAUUCCCCACACCAUCUAUAAGAAAAUCCAGGACCUGAACACCACAUGUAUGUGGAAAAUUCUGUUAUUACAUCACAUAGGGUUAGUGUGAAGACUUUCUAAGGUUUCCCAGGUUGCUGUUUAAAGAAAAGUUUGAAUUUCCCUGCACUGUGUGAACUUGCUAAUCAUCUUUCCUUUUUUGCUAUGGCUGUUGGGAAGCUCAAAGCCUAAUUUUUACCCAUAUCCAUUGGCUUAAAAGGACUAUGUGAUUUUUUUUAUCUUUUAUACUAAUGUCACUAAAACUUUAUUACUUUUUUGUCUCUUUGUAAAUAAUAUUUUCUGACUGUUGCAGAUAUUUAUUUCUCUUAAGUCCUUUUGAAUUUCCACAUGCAUUUUUGGAGUGUUAAGUGCUUCUUGGGAAAAUGUUCUAGUACAGUUGAAGAGCAGAGAGGGUAAGUCAUUUACCAGAGUCACACAAAUUUGAUGUAGUCAAAAAUCCUUUACUGUUCCGAGAACAAGUCUUUCCAGGUGUUUCCAUGUUAGCCACGAAAUCUGCUAUAAUUUCUUUACCCUGUGAUCAGUUCUGACUUCUCCACGCCUCUUAGAGAGGUGCACGUAAUUUGUUAGGUUUCCUGACAGCUUUCUCACUGUCCUGAAAGUCUAGAAAGCUAAGCAGUCUGCAUCACAGAGCAGCAUCCAGUACAGAGGCCCAGGCAGAGAUGAGUCCUGGUUUCAGCUGGCCUUGGAAGUCAGUGGUGCUGGGGCCUCCUCAGGGCCCUGAGGUCCAGCCAUUACCAUCUGCCACUGAAACUGGAGUUCAACAGGAACUAGAAGAGUGAAACUUUUCAGAUGAAAAUAAUUACUGGGAGGCCCUGGAGCCAGGGGAGGGAGCGACCUUGGGGGAAGAGUGGGCUCUGCUCAGAUGGACCCUGGGAGGCACAGAGCCAGCUGGGGCUUGGCAGUGACCUAGCAUCUUCUACCUGGCUCAUUGAUGCGGAAGGACAUCAAGCUCUUGGUCAGAUCUGCAUUGGGUAAGGCCCAAAGGUCAGCAGUGGAAGCUGGGAAGUCUGUGCCUGCAGCGUGAAGGAUCUGUACCAGCAGGCGGAAGAUUCUACACUGGAGUCAAGAAGCAAUGCUCAAAGUUAGGAUCAGGAUUCCCCCAGAAGUACCACAGCAACCCUCAGUGACAAUGAGGUCCUGAGCUUCUCUGACAAUGAGAAUGGCUGAAUUCAUAUUGAGGAAGCUAGCCAUGACAAGCUUCUCCAGGAGACCCAACAGCUCCACGUAACACUAGGGAGAGCCCACAAUGCCACACCCUUCCUCUCCAUAUUUCCUUCUACGCUGGCAACUUUUCCUCACGUGGGCCAUAUACACUCAGCACCAUGCCAAUUUAAUUCACCUAGUGUUAAGUGGACCACCAGUUUUUGACUCACAGCAAACAUUUUCAUUAAAUUUCUUCUUAGGUACCUGAAAUUUUAGUUAUUUUUAUAAGUAGGAUCAUUUAAAAAUUUUAUUUUCUAUUCUUU